rnacentral:misc_RNA from 1 species
GAAAUGCGAUAAGUAGUGUGAAUUGCAGAAUUCAGUGAAUCAUCGAAUCUUUGAACGCACAUUGCGCCCCUUGGUAUUCCAUGGGGCAUGCCUGUUCGAGCGUCAUUUGUACCUUCAAGCUUUGCUUGGUGUUGGGUGUUUGUCUCGCCUCUGCGUGUAGACUCGCCUCAAAACAAUUGGCAGCCGGCGUAUUGAUUUCGGAGCGCAGCACAUCUCGCGCUUUGCACUCAUAACGACGACGUCCAAAAGUACAUUUUUACACUCUUGACCUCGGAUCAGGUAGGGAUACCCGCUGAACUUAAGC